ACCUUGGCUCUAGACUGCUUACUGCUAACACCGCUCUGAAGUACAGUAACAGUCUACAGUCAUGGCUAC
rnacentral:pre_miRNA from 1 species